rnacentral:rRNA from 2 species
GAACCGCUUUCGGGCGGGGAUUAGUGGCGAACGGGUGAGUAACACGUGGGCAAUCUGCCCUGCACUCUGGGACAAGCCCUGGAAACGGGGUCUAAUACCGGAUAUGACUGUCCAUCGCAUGGUGGAUGGUGUAAAGCUCCGGCGGUGCAGGAUGAGCCCGCGGCCUAUCAGCUUGUUGGUGAGGUAGUGGCUCACCAAGGCGACGACGGGUAGCCGGCCUGAGAGGGCGACCGGCCACACUGGGACUGAGACACGGCCCAGACUCCUACGGGAGGCAGCAGUGGGGAAUAUUGCACAAUGGGCGAAAGCCUGAUGCAGCGACGCCGCGUGAGGGAUGACGGCCUUCGGGUUGUAAACCUCUUUCAGCAGGGAAGAAGCGAAAGUGACGGUACCUGCAGAAGAAGCGCCGGCUAACUACGUGCCAGCAGCCGCGGUAAUACGUAGGGCGCAAGCGUUGUCCGGAAUUAUUGGGCGUAAAGAGCUCGUAGGCGGCUUGUCAC